CAACUUCAAACACAACAUCAUCACCAGAAGACCUAAUCCCAGUAAUACCCCACCACUUAAAAAACGCACGAACCCUAAUUCCAUCAAGCUCCGCAAUUUUCCCUUUCACAAUCUUCCCUGUAAUUGUAUCCGAAUACGUAGCAACGUAAUUAUCAGGUGGAAGCGUGAUUUUACACGCGCCGGCGAGUUUGACGGAGAAUUCGCCGGAGGUUUUGUUGAUGAAGUGGUUUAAGACGGUUGUUGCGGGGAGAAGACCGAUUGGGAAACCGUAGGUUGCGAGUUCUAUGUGUGCUGGGGAUGGGAUUGGUUUGGGGGUUUUAGGGUUAGGGUUUUGAAUUGAUUUUGAUGUGAGAUUAAGAAGAAGAAUGAACACGAUGAGAAUUUUUGGAUUCAUGGUUGUU
rnacentral:lncRNA from 1 species